rnacentral:tRNA from 1 species
GCUUUUAUAGGAUAAUAAAUCCAUUGGUCUUAGAACCCAAAAAUUCAAUCUAAAUUGAUAAAAGCA